AUGUCUUCGGACGCUGGUAACCUCAACUCACUCUCCUCCAAUCCUCCUCAUAAGCAUGUUAUUGUUGGUGACGGUUCCUCUAUCCCUGUCACCAACUCCGGUCAUGUUUUCCUUCCUACUUCUGAUUCCACUCGUAGUCUGACUCUUCGUGAUGUCCUUGUUACUCCAUGUAUUGUAAAGAAUCUAAUUUCUGUUCGGCAAUUUACCACUGAUAAUCUCUGUUCGGUUGAAUUUGACCCUUGGGGUUUUUCUGUGAAGGAUCUCAAGACAGGGGCCGUGAUUCUCAGGUGCAGUAGCACGGGUGAUCUUUAUCCGCUCACCUCCACGUCGACACCAUCGCCUCUCCAUCGCCGAUUCCCAAGUCUGUUCGGGGUGCUCUUAAGGACCCAAACUGGCUCGCCGCCAUGA
rnacentral:rRNA from 1 species